UCAAGUUCAGGACAACCUGGACAAGUGAUGAAAAGAUCCUAAAAAGUGGCCUUGACUACAUCAAGCGUCAUCUGAAGGAUCAACCCACAGUGCAUCCAGGUGACACCGGCCCCCAGUCUUCAGAUGAGGAGGACUUCUUCUCCCCCAUCAAGAGGGGUAAAGCCCAUGAAAACACCAAUCAGCUCGAGUCCUACCUGGCCAACCCAGAUGAUGCCAAGGGUGUCCUCAAAUCUUACCCAGCAGUGUGCCACCUGUCUCUCAAACUCAACACCUCUCUACCAGCCUCAGCUGCCUGUGAGAGGCUUUUUAGCACUGCAGGGGCUGAUUCUCCGUCCCAAAAGGGCACGCAUUGGCUCAAAGAACUUUGAGAACCAGCUUCUGCUGAAGCUUAACAAAACCUUUUGGUAGUCCUGAGUUGAGUCAAUGUAUGGGGUUGUGUUGUGAUUUGUGUUGCUGCCUGGUUCGGUUCCACAGCCCUCACUCACAUCAAUGGAUCUCUCGUUCAAGUUUCUGAAGUUUGUUAUGCAACACUACCUGCAGAGAACACUACCUUCUCUCACCUUUGUUUCAGACAGAAAGUGUACAGUUACUUUCCUGUGCUGUUUUUUUUUUGUUCCCCUUUCCAUCUCUCCCCUAUAUUUGAAAGGAAUGUUUUUGGUACUAAACAUUUGCAGUAAGUAGACUAUAAGCUACAUCUUGUAUGAUGCUACAUUCCUGUAGGCUACUUGCUCUGUUGUGGUUUUGUUCUCGGUUCCACUUAUUUUGUUGUCUCUCCCUGAGUGAACCAAAGCAAAUUUCAAUCAACUGUUGUUGAGAAACUAUGUUGAAAUGGCAAUAAAUUCUUGAAUAUUGAA